ACAGGGUGUGUCCGGAAUUGGUGGGUUCUUGGUCUCACUGACUUCAAGAAUGAAGCCGCAGACCCUCACGGUGAGUGUUAACAGCUCUUAAGGUGGCGCGUCUGGAGUCUGCCCCUUCUGAUGUUCAGAUGUGUUCGGAGUUUCUUCCUUCUGGUGGGUUCGUGGUCUCCCUGGCUCAGGAGUGAAGCUGCCUCCCUGGCUCAGGAGUGAAGCUGCAGACCUUCGCGUACCUAACCAUGUGCAAGAGCUUCCACAUACAUGACCUCAUCAUAUCAAGAGUUCUUCAAUGAUACGACUUUCAUUCCUGUGCCAAGUCAAAGAGUUUCAGACAAAGUCAAGAGACCCUCUUGCUUCUACCUUUGGCUCUAAGACAAGCUUGAUUCAAACCUUGGUCACCGUAUGCUGAACCCCCAGUUGCCAGGCUGGAACGGAGAUGUUUGGUUAGGACAACUUAGAUGGAGAACUUGGAGAGGCGCUGCACUUUACCAUUCAACCUCAGAACACCACCACUGCCACUCUAAGAAAUGGAAGGCCAUGCCUCAUUGAACCUUCCUUUUUGUUCAAGAAAACUAGAAAGGUAUCAUCGCUGCGAUUCUACCUGUAAAAGAACACCUUGAGAAGACGCCAUUCAUCACUCUGUCUGGGGGUGAGUAUAAAGAUGGCACCCAGAGGACCAUCAAGGAGAGACAACUCCAGGAGAGCUCAUGGAAAUAGUAACACAGCAAAGGGAGAAAGAGAGAAAAGUCGAACUCUGAGUUCCUCUCUAGGGGAAAGGUGGAGGUAAGGAGAUGGAUGGGAUUCUUGAGGACCAGAAACUGUGU